rnacentral:rRNA from 1 species
UUAUUGAAAAUGUAAAUUUUUUACCUAGAUUAUUAUGAGUUAUGGUCUUUAAAAUUAAAAAAUUUGGCGGUAUUUUAGUCUAUUCAGAGGAACCUGUUUUUUAAUCGAUAGUCCACGAUUGUCUUUACUUUAGCUUUAAAUUUGCAUAUCGUCGUUUAUAAAAAUUUUAGGAGAAUUUUAAUUUUUGGGAUUUUUUAUUUGAAAUUAGUUCAGAUCAAGGUGUAGUUUAUGUUAAAGUUAAAAUGGGUUACAUUAAGUUUACUUGUGGUUUUCAUUUUUAAAAUUUGAAUUAAAAUGGAUUUGAUAGUAAAUACUUUAUUUUUGGGUGUUGAUUUAGCUCUAAAAUAUGC